rnacentral:tRNA from 1 species
GGGGAUAUAGCUCAGUGGUUGAGCAUUCGACUACAGAUCGAGAGGUCCUCGGUUUAAACCCGGGUGUCCCCU